GUGCUAGUCACUCCCUGCGGGACUUUCAUUAAUUUCUUCACCUCGAUUCCCAUGUGGUAAUUCCUAAGGCCCAGUUUAAAGAUGGGUUGAUACCCUCCAGUGGCAGAGAGGAGAAUUUCUAAUUGUUUCUGUUCUGCAUUAUGGAUUCAUUUCUGUACUCUCUUCCUCAAUGUACAAGUAAGGUGACAGUUAUAUAAAAUCAUACACAAUAAAAUCAGGACUAUAAUAACAAAAUGAUAGAAGAAUGAUUUCAUUAUCUGAGAUCCAGUAGGGGACCAACCAGUGAAGCAUCGUACCAAUGAUGGGCUAAAUCAUUCUGAAUUUGUGAACUCACCUUAAGGAGUUCUCCUUUUAGGAUAUGCGUGGCUACCUGUGUGUGUUAUCUUUGGGAAAAUAUAGUCCCCUGUGUAUGUGGGUGCCCACCAGGUUAAAUUCUUGGCAAAAAGAUCAUAAACUGGUACUGGUAAUGUGUUAAAUUGACAAGCUAAUUUAACAUCCUUUGAUGAUGUAUGAUAUAAUGUAAAAUAACAUGAGCAUGAAAAAUGUGAAACAUUACCAGUUAACCAUCCAUUGCAUUUAGUGGAUUGGGGUUUUAGAAGUAACCAUUCAUUAUCUGUGAGGUUAAGCAUCCCUCUAAUCUUCUUUAGUUUAGGAAUCAUUAGUGUGUUUUCUAAUGCCAAUCCUUGUUGUUGUAUCCAUAAAUACCUGAUGGCACAAGUACUCCAGUUACUUAAACCUGUAGUGAAUUUCAUAGUUGCAACAGUUAAAUUAUCUAAAUAAUUAUACAUUGAUUUAUCUAAAUCCAAUCCUAUAACCUGUGAUUUAACAACAAUUGGAGCCCAGUUUGCAGUAGCAUGAAAACCAGUCCCUAUAUGCAUGCUGGCUGUGUUUAACUUAUUCUUGAGGGUCUCCAUAUCUAUAACUAUUUAGUAUACCCAUAGUGGUUCCAGCACCUCCUAACAGUGUGUCAUACCAUUCCCUUUUCUGCCUUUGUUUGUUGUAUUACAUAAUGUUACAACAAGAGUAAUGACUUUUAAUGACACAUGUACAGCUUGUAAGAAGGCAGUUGUAUUAACACAUGUGGACGGAAUAGGUGUGUGUGUGUCGUGUUUGACUUUUGGUUCUAUGAUAGUGGAUGAAGGACAGUAAUAAGGUGUAAAAAUAUAAGGUAGUGUAUAGUUCUCAAUUGUAGUGUUGUUCAUAAUGACUAACAUUUGUCCCCUUCUCCAAUUAAUGAUACCAGUUAUUUAAUCAUUAUUAAAAGUAAUAAGGCCUGUCUAUUUACAUUGAUAUGCAACCUUAACUGUGCACAUUUCUGCGUUAUAAGAUCUAACAAUUUUCUGUGAACCUUUAAACAAACAUAAUGCAUCGGUUUCAUUAGCUGUAGACACAUUUCAUAUGGGUAACUGGUACUUAUAAGGGUUACUAUUUGUCCAAUUCAUCCAAAUGCGUUCAGUCAAUGAGUGCUUGCAUAUUACAUGCUGAUAGAAAGGUGGUGGAGAAAGGUUCUUGAGGGAGCGUGUGUGACGAAUGCUAGAUGAGGGGCUAAGGCCUAAUUGGGCUGGGGGUAUUGAAGAAUUGUUCAUCAUGUCAGAGUCUUUUUCCAGAACUUGCCAUUGACUUGUACUCAUAAUGGCAUUCAAGGAACAAUAUCAGAGGGAGUAUAACAACUCCAGAAAGCACAGCACACAACAUAAUCUUGGUCUCAGGUACGUAUGAUCCUCUCAAUCUACGAUAUGGUGUAAAAGCCAUGAUGCUUCGCUGAGGAGAAAUUCUUCUGUUUCCGAGCGAGGAGUGGUGUUGUCUUCCUUGGUUCCCCUCUUUGGACACAGCUUCACUCGGGAUGCGUGAAUCCAGAUGUCAUGGGAAUCUGUGGACAGCGGUUCUGGGUACAGCAAUCACAGUAGCAGGUGGUCCAAAAGGGUAUCCUCUUUUCUUGGUCCUGUUCAGCUGACGGAUAUACACCUUGUCACCGGGCUGGUAUGAAUGAGUAGGUUCCUGUGAAGGUAAGGGAAAACUGCGAAGAAACAUUGUCAUACAUACCAUUCGGGUUUAUCAACAAUUCACCUUGUGGGGAUAUAUUCUUAUCUCAGCUAAAAUAGCUGGUAGAUAUCUAGUCCAAUUUACCCAUGUUCCUGGGUAAAUUCUGGGCUUUUCCUUAAUAGUCCUAUUCAUCCUUUCAACUACCCCUGUAUUCUGUGGAUGAUAGGGUAUAUGAAACUGCCAGGUAAUUUGCAAGAAUUUAGCAAGUUCCUGGGCAACCCCACUGGCAAAAACCGGGCCAUUAUCAGAGCCAAUCUGCAGAGGGCAGCCAUACCUGGGAAUAAUUUCAGUAACAAUAAACUUCACUAGAAUCUUCCCUAGAUAUCACAAAGGCCUCAUGCCAUCUACUAAACUGAUUAACUAUGACCAGUAAGUAUUGCUGUUUCUUACCAAUUUUGGAUACAUGAAUAAAAUCAAUCUGUAAGUGUGUAAAAAGAGCAGCGUUCACACGAUCUUACAAAAGACUGUACAUGCUGCCUGAGAUUCCUAAUAUAAAAUGAAUUCAUGAGGAAUUGAAUGGUGCUUGCUAUGUGCCUGACUGAUGAAAAUAAAUCAGCUUGCUUCAAGUAUGCCUAUUCUCCCCUCUUUAGAGAACAGAUCAUUUUGAUCUUUCUCUAAACCUUGUUUAAUCCAAAAGACAGAUUCUGGGUAUUAAAAAAAGAAUCUCAUAACCACUGAAGCGCUGGGCUGUCAUGUGUUGUAUGGUGAUAUUUAUUAUCAGCUGAGUGACCUGGUGACUGGCAUGAAGUAUUGUAGGAUGCCCUAGUGUGAUAGUAGUAGCAGUUUCAACAGCCAUUGCACAUGCUAUCAAUGCUCUGAGACACGCUGGCAUACCCUGUACCGGAGCUUGAACUACUUUGGAAAAGAAUGCUAUGGGACGCAUACCGCCUCCUUGCUCUUGUGCACAGACUGCGGCCAUGGUUUUACAAUUGUCCCAAACAUACAAAUGAAAUGGUUUACAAUACACAGGUAGUCCUAAAGCCUGGGCUUGCACAAUAACAACUGUAAGGGCAAUAUAUGCAGCUAGCAUGUCUGGUGACCAGCAGACAUUUUCAGGGCUGUCAGAACGUACAGCCUCCCUUAGGAUUGAGUCAUAAUGGGAGCAUUCAGGGAUCCAUGGUGGCAGUAAUUAAUCAUGCCGAGGAAGGUGAGCAACUCCUUCCGAAUAGUGGGUGUAGGAAUCCUCUGAAUGACCUCAAUACGUUUUGGACUCAAUUGUCUGGUGCCUGAAGCCAGAACAAAACCUAAGUAUUCAACCUUUGAUUUACACAAUUGCAUUUUGUGUUUAACAACCUUGUGACCUACAGUUGCUGACAGUAUCCACAGUGCUUGCCUCAUAGCUAGGGCUACAUAACAACAAAUCAUCAACAUUUUGCAAAAAGGACGGAACCAUGACCGGUGGUCCAUGUUUUUUAGAGUAUGUUGGAGUACCAACGAAUAAACAGCUGGGGAAUCCACAUAGCCUUGGGUAAGCGUGUCCAGGUAAACUGACAGCCUUCAAAAAGUAAAAACCAUAAGUAGCUGUGUCUCUUGAUCAAUAGGUAUAGAAAAAAUGCAUUACUUAAAUCAAUGACAGUGAAGCAAGUGGCAUCAU
rnacentral:lncRNA from 1 species